AAACUUCUUUAUCACCGAGUGCUUGCACUCACCGAUAAAGAGUUGAGUGGCGAACGGGUGAGUAACACGUGGGCAACCUGCCCAAAAGAGGGGGAUAACACUUGGAAACAGGUGCUAAUACCGCAUAACCAUAGUUACCGCAUGGUAACUAUGUAAAAGGUGGCUAUGCUACCGCUUUUGGAUGGGCCCGCGGCGCAUUAGCUAGUUGGUGGGGUAAAGGCUUACCAAGGCAAUGAUGCGUAGCCGAACUGAGAGGUUGAUCGGCCACAUUGGGACUGAGACACGGCCCAAACUCCUACGGGAGGCAGCAGUAGGGAAUCUUCCACAAUGGGCGAAAGCCUGAUGGAGCAACGCCGCGUGGGUGAAGAAGGUCUUCGGAUCGUAAAACCCUGUUGUUAGAGAAGAAAGUGCGUGAGAGUAACUGUUCACGUUUCGACGGUAUCUAACCAGAAAGCCACGGCUAACUACGUGCCAGCAGCCGCGGUAAUACGUAGGUGGCAAGCGUUAUCCGGAUUUAUUGGGCGUAAAGGGAACGCAGGCGGUCUUUUAAGUCUGAUGUGAAAGCCUUCGGCUUAACCGGAGUAGUGCAUUGGAAACUGGGAGACUUGAGUGCAGAAGAGGAGAGUGGAACUCCAUGUGUAGCGGUGAAAUGCGUAGAUAUAUGGAAGAACACCAGUGGCGAAAGCGGCUCUCUGGUCUGUAACUGACGCUGAGGUUCGAAAGCGUGGGUAGCAAACAGGAUUAGAUACCCUG
rnacentral:rRNA from 1 species